UUCUCACAUGUGUAACGCUUCCAGACUUUUGUAAAUCGUAAUAAAAUAAUUGCCAUCUGAUCAACUGCCAUCCCCGUAAUUACCUGUGAAAGUAUUGUCUGCUUGUCUGAGUUUGGUUCUAUAAACACCUUAAGGAGGACAGUUCAUUCGUCGCUACAGUGUGAUGCUGCUGGUAGUUGAAACGAAUUACGCGAGUGUUGUCCUUCCCAUGCACAAGCAAAGCCUGAAUCAUUAGCCAAUGCCGACCCACAAUGUCUUGAGCAUAUAGAGCAGUGUAUGAUGACCCGUGCUGAAGAUCAAAGUGUACCGUACCCGAAUGCAACAUCAAACAAGCGCGUCAUGCUGAGAUUAACGUAUCUGUCAGGUUUGAGCUGACGGGAGUUAGUUCAUCACACCGUGGUAGAACCUUUCCAGGGCCAAAUCUACGUCAAGAUCAGAGAAUAGGUGCAACGGAAGGAUAUAGACUUCUGGAGCUGUCCGCAACGUAUCAACCUGAGGGUCGAUGAGUGGAAUAAACUGGUGGAGAUUAUGACUGCCAUCACUGAUGCCGUUAAAGAGCUGGAGAAUCAAGAGAGCAAGAAGGUGAAACGUGACAGCGAUGUUUAGGGUGAUGCUGCUGGCCCCUACACUAGUCGUGGAUUCGGAUCAGGAGGAUGACUUUCCAUGGGGGUAUACGGGUGACACUGUACCAUACACCAAGCCCACUGAGACACAAUUAACAUUAUUCAGUCGAUAUUCAUUCCUUGGAUUCUUAAGAAAGUAGAGGAAAUUUUUAGGAAGCAAUGUUAUGGAUGUAAUCAGCCAAUAGUUGAAGACUUCACCUAGAAGACUUUAUGCUAUCAUUUAUGGGUUCAAAAAUAUGAGCAAAUAAGCAGGGAAGUGAGUAAAAGACUGAGCAACAAAAAGCAACGACUGAGUAAAUGAGCAUCAAAAUGAGUAAAUGAGUAAUAAAAAGAAAGAAGUGAGCAGCAAAAUGAGCGAAUGAGCAACAAAAAGAGCAACGAAUGAGUAAAUGAGAAGGGCAAUGAGUAAAUGAGUAACAAAAAGAGCAGUAAA